rnacentral:tRNA from 1 species
GAAUGCAGCUCAGUGGUAGAGUCCUUGCCUUUCAUGCAUGAGGCUCUGGGUUUGAUUCUCAGCAUUC